ACGGACAGGAUGUCCGUUAGAACAGUCUUGCGCGAGUUUUCUGUAAGAAAACUCGAAGCCCCAAAAGGUACAGGACGUACCUUUUGGGGCGGGG
rnacentral:sRNA from 1 species